rnacentral:tRNA from 1 species
GGGGGAGUAUUUCAGCGGUAGAAUGCCGGUCUCCAAAACCGGUGACGAAGGUUCAAUUCCUUCCUCCCCUG